rnacentral:ncRNA from 1 species
GUUUAGGAAUUUAUUUAAUUUUUUUUUUACAUGUAAAUUUUUAUGGGAAUUGAUUUGAAUUUUAAAAAUUUUUAUUGAUUUUUAUAUUCGCAGUAUUUUAUUUUAAUAAUUUAAGAAAUUAAGAAUUAUAAAUAAAUUUUAAUAUUGACAAAUUUUGUGCCAGCAGUAGCGGUUAUACAAAAGAUAUAAAUAAAUUAUUUUGGUAAGUAAUUAAAUGUUUAAAUUUAAAAUGUAAAGUUAUAUUUAUUAGGUGAAAUUUUUAUAUAUAAAAUUAAUUUUAAUUUAUUUUUUGUAAUUAUGAAAUUUAUAAUUAAACUAGGAUUAGAUACCCUAUUAUUUUAAAUGUAAAUUUAUUAAUACUAAAUUAGUAAUAGUUAAGUUCUUUAAAGUUAAAGAUUUUGGCGGUAUUUUAGUCUAUUCAGAGGAACCUGUUCUGUAAUUGAUGUUCCACGAUUAAUUGUAUUUUUUUUAAAAGUUUGUAUAUCAUCGUUUUUAAUAAUUUUAUAAGAAUUUUUAAUUUUUAAGAUUUUUUAUUAAAAAGUAAAUCAGAUCAAGGUGCAGUUUAUGGAAAAAUAGAAAUGGGUUACAAUAAAUUUAUUUAUAUGGAUUAAUAUAUGAAAAAUUAUUAUGAAGGUGGAUUUGAAAGUAAUAAAAUUUAAUUAAAUUUUAUGAUUUUAGCUCUAAAAUAUGUACAUAUCGCCCGUCACUCUUACUAUAAAGUAAGAUAAGUCGUAACAAAGUAGAUGUACUGGAAAGUGUAUCUAGAAUGAC